AACAGAAACUUCUCCACAAACUAUUUGGAAAGAAAGAAAAUACUUAUCAAAAAGAUUCUGAAUUGAUGACAACAUACAUAUACCAGAAGACAGGAGAUUAACUCUGAAUUAGAGCAACUCUGGACUCAGGAUCAGAUGAUAGAACACCAUGCUGACCACUUUCACCAACUUGGAAACACAGCUAACAUAUUAUCCAAGUGAAGCAUUUUACUGGGUUUUGAUGUCAUUUAUUACACAAAAAAUGCAAUACUUUACAAUAGCAUACAAAAACAACAGAUUGACAUCAGACAAUGGAAUUUACCAGUCAUAUUUUAACAAAUACCUUUGCAUAACUGGUGGGGAAGGACCUGUCACUACAUCUUACAAAGGAAGCAGUUUGAAUUCCAAAAAGAUUUGUCUUGGACUUUGCUGGGACUGUUCUACAUGCUGAGGAGUCAGUGAGAACAAGAACAUUCAAUAAGUUUAUACUAUCCUGGAGGCAGACAGUAGACAAUUAAAAUAACUACCGACAAGUACAAUGAAGACAAUAAAAAAGGGCCACUAGAACUCUCUCAGUGGGGCUACAUUACCCUUUCUAAGGAGCUGACAUUUGGCUUCAGCCUGAACUUCCAGGGGUCAAGGGUGAGAAGACUUUCGAGCAGAACAUUCCCAGCAGCGCAAAAGCAAAUACAAAGGCCCAGAGAUCAAAACAAGAUUAGAAGAUUUACUAGCCAGAAGCAAAGCCACUGUAGCUAAAACCCGGUGACCCUGGAGGAAAGAAGAGAGGGUCAAAAUGGAAAAAGUGGCCAAAGAUAGAGGCUGAUGACCUUGUAAGGAAUAUUCCAGUGCAAUAGCGUGGAAGAAAGUCUGAUUAGGAAAAAGCUGAACGGAGAGUGGGAAUGAGCAAGUGGCAACAUAGGGUGACAGACAUUAAGUCAAGUGACUUAAUGACAAUGAUCAAGUGGAGAAGACAACACUGAUGAUACAGGAGACGAAGGGUAAUACCACAGGUAAGCUUUCGAAGAGGCCAGAGGCCAUGGAAUUCAGGGCUGCAAUGUUUGUCUAAUACAGAUGCAGGAAGAGGCUUCUACUGUAAG